rnacentral:lncRNA from 1 species
UAAUUUUCAGAAUUAGCUCAUCUACUAAAAGAAAAUAGGAUUCUGUGACUGAUUUAUUCGUAUGUAUACAAAGAGGAGUAUUAAUUUGAUGACCAUUAGUGAUAGAAUUUGGUGAAAUCUGAUAGCGAGUAUUGGGGCUGGAUGGCCUUGGUGCAACAGGCUCACAAAUUAUAUUAGAGGCAGUGAAGGUAUAGAGAUAUAGAGAACUUGAAUGUAUAAAAAAUUGGGAGG